rnacentral:rRNA from 1 species
GUAGUGACAAUAAAUCACAAUGCGGGACUAUACGUCUUGCAAUUGGAUUGAGAACAAUGUACAACUCUUAUCGAUAAGCCAUUGGAGGGCAAGUCUGGUGCCAGCAGCCGCGGUAAUUCCAGCUCCAAUAGCGUAUAUUAACGUUGUUGCAGUUAAAAAGCUCGUAGUUGAAGUGUGGGUGAUCGCUGUUGUGAGACUUCGGUCUCUCGACAGUAAGUCACCCCCUUCCAGUAUCCAGUAGUGGGUAUUCACUUACUUACUACUGUGUGUUGGUCCUUUACUGUGAGAAAAUUAGAGUGUUCAAAGCAGGCGUUUGCUUGAAUAGAUUAGCAUGGAAUAAUAAUUGAAGGCUUUCGUGUUCGAUUUGAUUGGUUUGUUCAUGGAAGCAAGGUUAAAAGGAACAGUUGGGGGUAUUCAUAUUCACUAGUUAGAGGUGAAAUUCUCGGAUUUAUGGAAGAUGAACAAGGGCCGAAAGC